rnacentral:tRNA from 1 species
GAAGAUUUAGUUAAAUACAUAACAUUAGAAUGUCAAACUAAAAUUAUUAAAAAUUAAUAAUCUUCU